GUAUAAUAAUCAUUACGUGAUUGUGUACACUGAAAAUAUUUUACGGUCUUUUUAUUUUUAAACUCUUCUUUGUUGGCAAUGGAAUGGUGGUGUACUGUGGAGUGUUAACAUGUUUGGCGCGUUAAUUUUAGUGUUUGAAUUUGAUUUGGUUAUUAAAACAAAUAAUACCGUAGCUCUCUUUAAUAACAGUAAUACAACAAGUUUUUCGUUAUCAUAAUAAAGUAAUCAGUGCGCUGCAAGAACAAAUAUUCUUACGUAACAUGCAGUUGUUCGACAUCCGUCUAUCAUUUCAGAAGUGUGCUGAAGAUAUAUAAAUCUGUGUUAGAAUUGUAUUUAGAUUUAUAAGAAGUCCCAGACACUAAUAUGGAUGACAAACUGCUUCCGAGAGAAGUGCCAGAGCCGACAAGGUUUCCAAGUAUCCUCUUCGAGCCAUGUGUGCCAGACGCAUCUCUGGUUUUCGGAUGUGGGCUGUUCGAAGCACCAAAGGCAUCUGCCAAAGUGAUGAAAACUCCACACCAAACUUCGAACACUGAAGAUAUUUUACACUAUGGCGUGCAAGAGAAAGCUGUCCCUUCAUGGAUAAAGGCAUACAAAGUGGAGACAAAUACUGUUGUCGAUCCCAGCAACUUUGAGCAGAGUGAUCACCGGCGCAUAUCAGCUGACUUCAGUGAGAGGAGACCAGAUUUAGAGGAGUUUGAAGAGAGAAGUGCUGAGAAUUUUUCAGGGAGGACCAGUUCAGGGCCCGUUGGGGCAGGGAAUAUGUGUGUGGGACAGAAGACAGGGGACGGAACUCGUAAAGCCGAUCGACUCGGGUAUAAGAACUCGGUUGCAGUGCAGGAAAUGAGAGAAAGAGGUGAGUCAUUUGGAAAAAGUACCACCGAUAAUUUCCUCGAUUCUGACACAGACCCGUUUGCAAAAAAAUACCAAUAUGGUCUCAAAAGGAGCAAAGUGACAAAUUCUCAGACUCGUGUUGAGAUGUUGGACCGACACUAUGCUGAGCUGCAGGGAGGCACUGCUGCAGUGCCACAUAAGCAUCUCGGGGAUGUUGUGGACUGUACGGGACGUCCCACACAGGAUUUGCCCGACGUUACGGGCGUCCAGUGUGACAGUACCGUUUCGGCGACAGUCACUGCACCUGGAGGAGAGAUACAGGGUGUGGAGGAGCAGCGUGGCAGCUUUCCACCGGGUCACUCGGACCGACAGGGAGGAGUCGCUCGCUACGUCGAUUCGUCCGAUCGGGUCGCACUCGCAGGGGCGGGGUACGUCGCCUCAGAUGUAAGCGGCCUGCGGGCACCCCAGGCUUUCGACUUUCAGAAUGAAAGAGAAAAAUCUGCAGGGCCACACAAAGGUUUUAUUUCGUCAGACUGCAGCCUAAGUGACGGUUCUCCUCUCAGUUUGGGAAGACGCAGACGGAAGUGGAAAAACAAACUGGUGAAAGAAAGUGACCCGGUAUCAGUUCCGUGCAAAAAUCUUGGAAUAAAUGUGAGGGAGAGAGAGCUCCUCACAGUCGGCAAUUCUGAAACACGCGACAGUCCCAGGCGUGCAAAGAGGGGGAGCUCUGCGGGAUUGCCCCUCACAGAGUUUGGAAAUGCACGCACUGCGGAGGGGCUCGGAGCAUCGCGGGUCCCAGUGUCGGACCCUCUUAUAAGGGCACUGUUCCACCUGCAGAACCGCCACACAGAGCUGCUGCUAAAGCUGGCGGCAGAUGUGGGUGAGGUGGCUCAGAAGCAGAGGAGGAUGUUUGACGUCUUCCAGAAACUGCAGAGUGCCUUCUGUGACAGUAGCACCCGGACUGCCGCCGAGGUGCCUGUGGGGAGCGGCAGGGUCCAGAGGAGGCACUGCGACAAGUGCACACAGACGAGCUGUGACGGUGGCGACCGGGUGACGAUGGCUGUGACGGAUGCCUGGACGCAGUCGGGCAGUACGGGAGACACGGAGAGUAGCAGUUACAGGGCAGGUCAUCUGGAAAGUGGGGUCGUGGCUGUGACUGAGACUGAGAGCGGAGGCUCGAUCAAAACACAUGAAGGUCUAGGUGGAGCAGUGUGUGCUGUGAGUGAAGGGACAGGACAUCUGGCCGAGAGUGGAACCUGCAUCGCUGAUAGGUUGGAGACAACAGAGGUCAGGGCGAAGGUAGGGUCAGGUGCCACCCGGGGAGGCAAGGACUCUGGCAAGGCAGCGAAUCCUGGUGAUGUGUGGAGGCUUAUAGGAGCUGUGCGGAGCAUCGCUGCCAGGGUUGAGGACUCUGGAGCAGAAACGAGACAUUCCUCCGGGGAGGCGGGCGCCGGCAAUCACGAGGCAGAGGAGGAAUGUGGUGACCGCUUGAGGCAGGUGGAGGUGGCUGGUCUCGUCGCAGCCAUGCGGAGUGCUGUGUUGAGGUAUGAGAACAACGAGUUCAUAAAAGCUCCCAAGUUGGAGGAUGUAGCCGAAGUAUCGGAGAACUCUUCGGACUCGGAAGAUGGUGAGGCAUCUGAGGUGGGCGACGAAUCAUUGACGAUUGGUGACCUGAGCCUCGUCCCUCAGAACGUGUCACUGUCACCUGACCCGUCGCUCCGGAUUGACCCGGGGGGCCUGGAAAUCUCUUCGGAUGCACUCGCUACCGAGAGUGAUGAUAGUGAGACUGAAGUGUCAGCCCACUCUUCUAAAAGGAAAGAAGGCCAUUCCGAAAACACUGACACGGCGGCUGUAUACCUGUACAGAAAUAUUUUUAGCAAAGUGCAGGAGAUAUUGGACCAUAGUAAAACAGCUUCAGAUGGCAGGAGAGGCAGUUCUGGGAAGAAACCCUCAACAUCUGAAGCAGAAAAUGGAAGAACGAAGAACAGAUAACAUUAAUUUCCAUAUGGUGAUGCACAAAAUGGAUGUAGACAGAGUUAGGUUAUCUGACUUAAAAGUCCACAGGUUGAUCAUAGCACGUCUGUCACCUGCUGCUGGUUGUACUCUCUGGCGAUGUCCAGCGGGGUUUUCCCAUUGUUGUCUAUGGCCCCCCUGUCGGCCCCUGCCUCCAGCAGCUCCGUCGCUGCUUCCGUCUCGUCAUUGAAUGCUGCAGAGUGCAACGGCGUCCACCCGUCCACAUCCCUGGCGUUGGGGUCGGCAGAGGACGCCGCCAGCAGCCUGACGACAGCCGGGCGGCCGCCCCACGCAGCCAGGUGCAGCGGCGUCUGCUGGAACUUGUCCCUCGCCCCCACGUCCGCACCUGCCGCCAGCAGACGCCUCACCAUCUCCUCGUAUCCCCUGCCAGCUGCCCAAUGCAGGGAGGUCCACUCGUUCAUGUCUCUCGCCCCCACGUUCACUCCAGCCGCCAGCAGGGCCUGCAAUUCCUCCAUUGAGCCCUGAAUAGCUGCCUGGAUCAGCCUCCUGCCCUUCUCCUCUCCAGAUAAUGUCCUGCAAAAAACUACAGAUGUUCUAACAAUUUUUUCCAAACAAACACACACACACACACACACACACACACACACACACACACACUCUGUAACAUUACAGGACAUAUUGGGACA